UACAGAGGUCUCGAGCGUUUGUUCGGAUUCAUUGGGCGUAAAGGGUGCGUAGGUGGCACUGUAAGUCGGGUGUGAAAUCCUGAGGCUUAACCUCGGAACUGCAUUCGAUACUGCGGUGCUUGAGGACUGGAGAGGAGACUGGAAUUCAUGGUGUAGCAGUGAAAUGCGUAGAGAUCAUGAGGAACACCAGUGGCGAAGGCGGCUCACUGGCCCGGUACUGACGCUGAGGUGCGAAAGCGUGGGGAGCAAACAGG
rnacentral:rRNA from 1 species